rnacentral:rRNA from 1 species
AGUAAUCGCGAAUCAGAAUGUCGCGGUGAAUACGGUUCCCGGGCCUUGUACACACCGCCCGUCACACCAUGAGAGUCGAUAACACCCGAAGCCUGUGAGCUAACCUUUUAGGAGGCAGCAGUCGAAGGUGGGGUUGAUGAUUGGGGUGAAGUCGUAACAAGGUAGC